AUUGAACGCUGGCGGCAGGCCUAACACAUGCAAGUCGAGCGGGGUUUUCGGACCUAGCGGCGGACGGGUGAGUACUGCGUAGGAAGCUACCCGACAGAGGGGGAUACCAGUUGGAAACGACUGUUAAUACCGCAUCAUGUCUACGGACCCAAGUGUGGGCCCUUCGGGCCACAUGCUAUCGGAUGCGCCUACGUGGGAUUAGCUAGUUGGUGAGGUAAUGGCUCACCAAGGCGACGAUCCCUAGCUGGUUUGAGAGGAUGAUCAGCCACACUGGAACUGAGACACGGUCCAGACUCCUACGGGAGGCAGCAGUGGGGAAUCUUGGACAAUGGGCGCAAGCCUGAUCCAGCCAUGCCGCGUGUGUGAAGAAGGCCUUCGGGUUGUAAAGCACUUUCAGCGAGGAGGAAGGGGUGAGUGUUAAUAGUACUCAUCUUUGACGUUACUCGCAGAAGAAGCACCGGCUAACUCUGUGCCAGCCGCCGCCGUAAAAC
rnacentral:rRNA from 1 species